AGUGAACGCUGGCGGCAGGACUAACACAUGCAAGUCGAGCGGCAGCGCGUCCGACCACCCUCGGGUGGUCGGAUGGCGGCGAGCGGCGGACGGGUGAGGAAUGCAUCGGAAUCUGCCUCGUUGUGGGGGAUAACGUAGGGAAACUUGCGCUAAUACCGCAUACGACCUACGGGUGAAAGUGGGGGACCUUCGGGCCUCACGCGAUGAGAUGAGCCGAUGCCGGAUUAGCUAGUUGGCGGGGUAAAGGCCCACCAAGGCGACGAUCCGUAGCUGGUCUGAGAGGAUGAUCAGCCACACUGGAACUGAGACACGGUCCAGACUCCUACGGGAGGCAGCAGUGGGGAAUAUUGGACAAUGGGGGCAACCCUGAUCCAGCCAUGCCGCGUGUGU
rnacentral:rRNA from 1 species